GUAGGGAAUAUUGGACAAUGGAUGCAAGUCUGACCCAGCCAUCCCGCGUGCCGGAAGAAGGCCCUCAGGGUUGUAAACGGCUUUUGACGGUGAAGAAUCGACAGGAUGCGUCCUGUUUUGACGGUAGCCGUUGAAUAAGCACCGGCUAACUCCGUGCCAGCAGCCGCGGUAAUACGGAGGGUGCGAGCGUUGUCCGGAUUUAUUGGGUUUAAAGGGUGCGUAGGCUGGUAGGUCAGUCAGCGGUGAAAAGCUGUCGCUUAACGAUAGUCUUGCCGCAGAUACUUCCUUUCUUGGAUGAGGAGGAGGCCACUGGAACGGAUGGUGUAGCGGUGAAAUGCAUAGAUAUCAUCCAGAACACCGAUUGCGAAGGCAGGUGGCUGUACCUUAAUCGACGCUGAUGCACGAAAGCAUGGGGAGCAAACAGGAUUAGAAACCCUGGUAGUCC
rnacentral:rRNA from 1 species